rnacentral:misc_RNA from 1 species
UUGUUUACCAAAUUCAACCAUAAAACGUUAUCUUGGAUACGACGUACAUUAUUAUGUUCAGCGCGCUAUUAACCCCCCUCUUAUUUCACUGACACAAGUGUAUGCAUAUUCUUGAUGCACACGAUAAACAGGAUGUGGACAUCUUCACCAAAGCUUCGCAAGGAUAUAAAUUAGUUAAACGUUCUGCACGUGUGUGGAUUGUGGGGUUUUUUUGUUGUUAUUUUUUCGUCUUCCUUUCUUUCCAAUGAAAUAUGAACGCUGCGGCGAAGCUUGUGAAAAAGGCUCUAACGGAUCACCGGAUUUCCCUCAAUGUCGGGGGUGUGGUCUUCGAGACGAUGUCGAGCACCCUCCAGAAGUUCCCUGGGACCCGCCUGGCCACCCUGGCGGUGAUGCACGAGAAGGACGAGAAUUGGGACGGCGAGAGGAAACAGUUCUUCUUCGACAGACACCCCGGCGUGUUCUCCUUCAUCAUCCACUACUACAGGACGGAGGAGCUGCACAUAGAACAUAACAUAUGCGGCAAUAUUAUUAAGGGGGAACUCGAGUUCUGGGGUCUGACCGAGCUGGACAUUGAGCCGUGCUGCUGGGGCCAGUACAACAGAUACAAGGAGAACAAGGACACUCUGGCCGCCCUCGACGACAACUUCACCGUCAGCGUGGACAACGAGGCCUGGGGCGAGAAACCGUCCAGCUUCAACAAGUUCAAGAUGAAGGUGUGGUUGUUCUUAGAGGACCCGAACUCGUCCAGGGCAGCAAAGAUCUAUGCAGUGAUUUCCAUGUUCUUCGUUUUGCUGUCUAUCGCGACAUUCUGCCUGGAAACACACCCCUGGUUCCGCGUCUUGCGGCCCGGAGCCAUACUACCCAAUACUACAGCUCUAGAAAAUGCCAGGACAGUUGGCGACAACACCUGCUACUGUCAGUGCAGAGUCAACAAUGACCUGCCGUACCACCUGAGCGACCCUCACGACGCCAUGCGCUACCUGGACUACCUGUGCGCGGCGUUCUUCACCAUGGAGUAUAUGGUCCGCCUGUACUUCGCGCCCAAGAAGCUGGUCUUCUUCCGGAGCCUCAUGAACAUCAUCGACAUCCUGUGCCUGCUGCCGCACUUCAUCGCCAUCAUCAUGAAGACCGUCAACCCCGACGACAGCACGAGCCAGAUAUUCAAGUCGGUGGUGGCGCUGAGGAUCGUGCGGAUCCUCAGGAUCUUUAAGCUGAUGAAGCACUACGCGGCAUUCAAGAUCCUCGUCUACACCAUCAAGGUCAGCACCAAGGAGCUGCUCCUCCUCGUCAUCUUCCUCUUCACCGGCGUCCUCAUCUUCGCCAGCCUCAUCUUCUACGCAGAGAGCACGACUUUCCCAAACAUCCCCGUCGGCUUCUGGUGGGCGCUGGUCACCAUGACGACCGUGGGUUACGGGGACAAGGUGCCGAGGACUGAGGGCGGGUACCUGAUCGGGUCCUUGUGUGUGCUGUGUGGAGUCCUCACUGUUGCCUUCACAGUUCCGAUCGUGGUGAAUAAUUUUACGCUGUACUAUUCGCACGCCCAGUCCAGAGUCCGGCUUCCCGAGAAGACGAGGAAAGAGCUUCAGAAGAGGAUUAUAAAGAAGAAUCAGAAAGCUUCGGAGUUUAUUCAGAAAUUGACUAUGAACGUGCAUCACAAACAGACUAAAGAGCCCUUUAAUGGGGUCCCGGGAUUAAAGACUCCUCGGGAUCCCGCGGAAGAUAAACCGCCACCUAAAUCGAUGGCUGGUGCUUCGUACAAGCAAGCAGCUAGUGUUAGCAAAAAUUCAAAAUGGAGUGGGCUUGCGCACGGAUCAAGGGUUAUUACAAUAUCGGAACAUGUUCCUGAACUCUCCCCAAAUGCGUCCCCUAAGGAUCUACCGGGAACACCUAUAAGCAUAGAGCUGGAACCAAAAUCGCUGCAGCACAUGGAGACCGAACAGCUGCUGCACGAUCUACACGGGGCGAACGAAAAGCUUAAGGAGGAGAGGAAGCGUCAGCUGGACCUGAUCAAGAUCAGACGAGAGGAGAAGAGGCAGGCGAAACUCUCUCCCAGACCCUCACCCGCUCCCGCAGCCUCGGCCAGACCCAACAAAGACAAUGAAUAGAUUAACAAGAAAACAGCACAAGUUUCUUCAUACACAGAGUAAAGGAACAUAAUUCCGCUGCUUUAAAAACGAAAGAUGGACAGCAAGAUUAAUUAUGCUAGAACUUCAAAUGCUGGGUCGUCCCUAAACAAAAACAACUAGGAUGGUUUUCUUCAUCUACACAAAACGAACAUUUUUUAUUAUUUACAAGAUACAUUUUUUCAUAUUCUGAACUCAGUUGGGUACAGCCCUAGGACAUUUCAUCAUAUUAUGUAACUUUAUCAUAUUUGUUUUUUUAAUUAUUUUUUAUUAUUAUUAUUAUUAUUACUAUUAUUAUUAUUAUAGAAUUGUUGUUGAAGUUGUAACGAUGCUAUUGUUACAAAUCAACGAAAAACAAAAUGCAACGCAAAAUGUUAACAGUUCCAUGGCAAGGAUACUUUUUAUUAUACUGUUUCAUACUGUUUAAGAUAUACUGAUAUUAUUCUAUAACCCGUUUAUCUGUGAUAUUAUUACGAGUGAUGAUUAUUUAGGACACGUGUACAUAAUACCCCCCAAAAAUAUAUUAAUGACGGUGUUGGAACAAUAAAAAUUAACUUAACCAUAAUAUUAUGUUAAUAUUAUAAAAAAAUAUAUUUAAAAAUCGGUUUUGCUCUAGAUAGCGCACUUUGUGAAACAUGCGUACAUAACUUACAGAAGCACGUCAUUAUUAUUUUAUUUAUAUUGCAACAAAACAGAAUACUUUGAUGAGCAUUAACAAUUUAAAGUUUUAAUAUCAAUGAUAAUCUUUAGUACAAGUCUAAACAUUUUGACAUCAGUUUUAUAAAACAAACUCCCAUUCUUCCAUUCGUGUCAAUAGGGCAUCCUCUGCAACAAACCUAUAUCAAAUCAUUUGAAGUAACUAGGAAAAUAGUUGCUUGGUUUUGUUCUUUUAUUAUUUUUAUUUUUAAAUAAAAUGUAUAAUACAAAAUUUCUAUUCUUCGAGCAUGAUUAAGAUUCCACAUCACCAUUAAUUACUCCAUGCAGGUCCCUUCAACUUCUAAGGUUACACAUAACCAUUAAUUACUCCAUGUAGUUCAAUACAAUUUCUAAGGUGUGUAAUUAUUCCAUACAGUUCAAUAAAAUGUCUAAGGUUACACACCACCAUUAAUUACUCCAUGUAGUUCAAUACAAUUUCUAAGGUUACACACCACCAUUAAUUACUCCAAGCAGUUCAAUACAAUUUCUAAGGUUACACACCAUCAUUAAUUACUCCAUGCAUUUCAAUACAAGUUCUAAGGUUAAACACCACCAUUAAUUACUCCAUGUAGUUCAAUACAAGUUCUAAGGUUAAACACCACCAUUAAUUACUCCAUGCAGUUCAAUACAAUUUCUAAGGUUACACACCAUCAUUAAUUACUCCAUGCAGUUCAAUACAAGUUCUAAGGUUAAACACCACCAUUAAUUACUCCAUGCAGUUCAAUACAAGUUCUAAGGUUACACACCACUAUUAAUUACUCCAUGCAGUUCAAUACAAUUUCUAUCAGAAUAUAUUCUGUGAAAAAUGCAACACUAUCGGGAGGAUCACGUGACUACUAAUUUUAGGGAAUGCUCUCAACUGAGAAGCACCGUGUCGACCAAUAUGGUUUUCAAUUAGCCACCCUCAUGUCUGAGCACCGCCUCGUGUUGAUGUUACACAGGUGGCACUAUACCACUUGCACAGUUGUUAUACGUUAGUACGUCAUAUAUAACAAGUUACUUCAAACCAAUGGGUUAUUUAAAGACUAUACAGAGGU